AUUGAACGCUGGCGGCAUGCUUUACACAUGCAAGUCGAACGGUAACAGGGUGCUUGCACCGCUGACGAGUGGCGAACGGGUGAGUAAUGCGUCGGAACGUGCCGAGUAGUGGGGGAUAACGCAGCGAAAGUUGUGCUAAUACCGCAUACGUACUGAGGUAGAAAGUGGGGGACCUUCGGGCCUCACGCUAUUCGAGCGGCCGACGUCUGAUUAGCUAGUAGGUGAGGUAAAGGCUCACCUAGGCGACGAUCAGUAGCGGGUCUGAGAGGAUGAUCCGCCACACUGGGACUGAGACACGGCCCAGACUCCUACGGGAGUCAGCAGUGGGGAAUUUUGGACGAUGGGCGAAAGCCUGAUCCAGCCAUGCCGCGUGUCUGAAGAAGGCCUUCGGGUUGUAAAGGACUUUUGUCAGGGAGGAAAUCCCUAGUGCUAAUAACACUGGGGGAUGACAGUACCUGAAGAAUAAGCACCGGCUAACUACGUGCCAGCCGCCGCAGUAA
rnacentral:rRNA from 1 species